CCAGGUAUGUCAAAUGCAAUUAAAGAGUCAAAAAUCUGUUGCGAUGCAGUAAGACCAGUGUUGUGGUGAUGAGAAAUGGAUUGAGACUCAGGAGCAUAAGGAAAAUGAGACUCAUAAAAAAUUACAUUGUGGGACACUAGAAUAUUUUUGCUAUGAAGAUUAUAUAAAAGAUAGCCUUUAACUCCAGGUUUAAAACCAAUCCAUAUAAAUCUGCCUAAUCACACUAUUGUCAUUGCCUCAUUUUCAGGGACUAUUCAUAUAGGUGCUUUACUACUUGUUGAUGUGCUUUUUGUACCUGAAUUCUCUGUUUCUCUCAUUUCAGUUCCUAAACUUGUUUCCAC
rnacentral:lncRNA from 1 species